rnacentral:lncRNA from 1 species
CAGACCUGUCAGCGCAUUUAUUUCUUCAUUUUCCUACUUUUUCCCGACCUCCUUUCCCCUCGGUCGGGGAUCUCGAGUACUUCUUCUUAGUCGAGUCCUCGCGACAUCGUGGUUUUUCCCUCCUUUUGGGCUUUCUAUUCUUCCUUGGCCGGGUUGGGCUUUCCCUGGGCUGCUUCGGUGGGCUGCUGUAUUUGGGCCUUGUAGCUCCGGUCUUGGUCCGGAUCAGUAGUUAUGGAAAUGGUAGACAAAAUCGAUGUAAUAUGACAAAUCAUAUUAAAUUUUAUUUUUUUCAAUAUUUUUUUAACAUUCCAAAAUCGGUGCAUUAAUUGUUAGAUAUGCUUUCAUGAUUAUUUUUAUUGUGUUUGAC